rnacentral:rRNA from 1 species
CUAAUACAUGCAAGUCGAGCGCGGGAAGCAAACUGAAUCCUUCGGGAGGACGUUUGUGGAACGAGCGGCGGACGGGUGAGUAACACGUGGGCAACCUGCCUGUAAGACUGGGAUAACUCCGGGAAACCGGGGCUAAUACCGGAUGAUCCUUCGUACCGCAUGGUACGGAGUUGAAAGAUGGUUUACGCUAUCACUUACAGAUGGGCCCGCGGCGCAUUAGCUAGUUGGUGGGGUAAUGGCUCACCAAGGCGACGAUGCGUAGCCGACCUGAGAGGGUGAUCGGCCACACUGGGACUGAGACACGGCCCAGACUCCUACGGGAGGCAGCAGUAGGGAAUCUUCCGCAAUGGACGCAAGUCUGACGGAGCAACGCCGCGUGAGUGAUGAAGGUUUUCGGAUCGUAAAGCUCUGUCUUCAGGGACGAUAAUGACGGUACCUGAGGAGGAAGCCACGGCUAACUACGUGCCAGCAGCCGCGGUAAUACGUAGGUGGCGAGCGUUGUCCGGAUUUACUGGGCGUAAAGGGAGCGUAGGCGGACUUUUAAGUGAGAUGUGAAAUACUCGGGCUCAACCCGGGGGCUGCAUUUCAAACUAAAAGUCUAGAGUGCAGGAGAGGAGAGUGGAAUUCCUAGUGUAGCGGUGAAAUGCGUAGAGAUUAGGAAGAACACCAGUGGCGAAGGCGG